rnacentral:rRNA from 1 species
AGUGAACGCUGGCGGCAUGCCUAACACAUGCAAGUCGAACGGAAGGACAGUAAGAGUGUGCCCCUAAGGGUGGCGACUGGCGGACGGGUGAGGAAUACAUCGGAAUCCACUUUUUCUUGGGGGAUAACGUAGGGAAACUUACGCUAAUAGCGCAUAUAACCUACGGGUGAAAGCAGGAGAUAUUCGGAGCUUUCGCGAUACAUUGAGCCGAUGUCGGAUUAGCUAGUUGGCGGGGUAAAGGCCCACCAAGGCGACGAUCCGUAGCUGAUCUGAGAGGAUGAUCAGCCACACUGGAACUGAGACACGGUCCAGACUCCUACGGGAGGCAGCAGUAGGGAAUAUUGGGCAAUGGGCGCAAGCCUGAUCCAGCCAUACCGCGUGAGUGAUGAAGGCCUUCGGGUUGUAAAGCCCUUUUGUUGGGAAAGAAAAGAAGCAUAUUUAUACCCGGCUGUCCUGACGGUACCCAAACAAUAAGCACCGGCUAACUACGUG